rnacentral:rRNA from 1 species
UACGUAGGGAGCAAGCGUUGUUCGGAUUUACUGGGCGUAAAGGGGGCGUAGGCGGCGCGGUAAGUCACUUGUGAAAUCUCUGAGCUUAACUCAGAACGGCCAAGUGAUACUGCAGUGCUAGAGUGCAGAAGGGGCAAUCGUAAUUCUUGGUGUAGCGGUGAAAUGCGUAGAUAUCAAGAGGAACACCUGAGGUGAAGACGGGUUGCUGGGCUGACACUGACGCUGAGGCGCGAAAGCCAGGGGAGCAAACGGG